GUGUCAGCAGCCGCGGUAAUACGGAAGGUGCAAGCAUUAAUCGGAAUUAUUGGGCGUAAAGGGCGCGUAGGCGGAAUUGUAAGUCAGAUGUGAAAUACCGAAGCUCAACUUCGGUGCUGCAUUUGAAACUACAAUUCUAGAGGGUUGACGGAGAAAACGGAAUUCCACGUGUAGCGGUGAAAUGCGUGGAUAUGUGGAAGAACACCGGUGGCGAAGGCGGUUUUCUAGUUAAUACCUGACGCUGAGGCGCGAGAGCAAGGGGAGCAAACAGGAUUAGAUACCCUGGUAGUCCUUGCCGUAAACGAUGUAUACUUGAUGUAGUUGGACUCAACCCCGACUGUGUCGUAGCUAACGCGAUAAGUAUACCGCCUGAGGAGUACGCUCGCAAGGGUGAA
rnacentral:rRNA from 1 species